CUACGGGUGGCACCAGUGGGGAAUAUUGGACAAUGGGGGAAACCCUGAUCCAGCAAUGCCGCGUGUGUGAAGAAGGCCUGCGGGUUGUAAAGCACUUUCGGUUGGGAGGACUGCUUCUAGCACUAAUAUUGUUGGAAGUUGACGUUACCUUCAGAAGAAGCACCGGCUAACUCCGUGCCAGCAGCCGCGGUAAUACGGAGGGUGCAAGCGUUAAUCGGAAUUACUGGGCGUAAAGCGCGCGUAGGCGGCUAGAUCAGUCGGGUGUGAAAGCCCCGGGCUUAACCUGGGAACUGCAUCCGAUACUGUCUAGCUUGAGUACAGGAGAGGAGAGUGGAAUUCCACAUGUAGCGGUGAAAUGCGUAGAUAUGUGGAGGAACACCAAUGGCGAAGGCAGCUCUCUGGCCUGAUACUGACGCUGAGGUGCGAAAGCGUGGGGAGCAAACGGGAUUAGAUACCCUGGUAGUC
rnacentral:rRNA from 1 species